GGAUUAGAUACCCUGGUAGUCCACGCCCUAAACGAUGUACGCUUGGUGUCGGGUCUUUCGGGACUCGGUGCCGGAGUCAACACGUUAAGCGUACCACCUGGGGAGUACGAUCGCAAGGUUGAAACUCAAAGGAAUUGACGGGGGCCCGCACAAGCGGUGGAUUAUGUGGUUUAAUUCGAUGCAACGCGAAGAACCUUACCUGGGCUCGAAAUGCAGGAAGUAGGACCCCGAAAGGGGAACGGCCCGUCAAGCCGGGAUCCUGUAUAGGUGCUGCAUGGCUGUCGUCAGCUCGUGCCG
rnacentral:rRNA from 1 species